rnacentral:rRNA from 1 species
AUUGAACGCUGGCGGCAGGCCUAACACAUGCAAGUCGAACGAGUGGCGGACGGGUGAGUAAUGUCUGGGAAACUGCCUGAUGGAGGGGGAUAACUACUGGAAACGGUAGCUAAUACCGCAUACCAUCAGAUGUGCCCAGAUGGGAUUAGCGAGUGGGUGGGGUAACGGCGCACAAAGGCGAAGGGCCCUAGCUGGUCUGAGAGGAUGACCAUGCACACUGGAACUGAGACACGGUCCAUAUUCCUCCGAGAGGCAGCAGUGGGGCAUAUGGCACAAUGGGCGCAAGCCUGAUGCAGCCAUGCCGCGUGUAUGAAGAAGGCCUUCGGGUUGUAAAGUACUUUCAGCGGGGAGGCGUUACCCGCAGAAGAAGCACCGGCUAACUCCGUGCCAGCAGCCGCGGUAAUAC